GACGAACGCUGGCGGCGUGCUUAACACAUGCAAGUCGAGCGGAAAGGCCCUUCGGGGUACUCGAGCGGCGAACGGGUGAGUAACACGUGAGUAACCUGCCCUAGGCUUUGGGAUAACCCCGGGAAACCGGGGCUAAUACCGGAUAUGACCUGGUGCCGCAUGGUGUUGGGUGGAAAGUUUUUUCGGCCUGGGAUGGGCUCGCGGCCUAUCAGCUUGUUGGUGGGGUGAUGGCCUACCAAGGCGAUGACGGGUAGCCGGCCUGAGAGGGCGACCGGCCACACUGGGACUGAGACACGGCCCAGACUCCUACGGGAGGCAGCAGUGGGGAAUAUUGCACAAUGGGCGGAAGCCUGAUGCAGCGACGCCGUGUGAGGGAUGAAGGCCUUCGGGUUGUAAACCUCUUUCAGCAGGGACGAAGCGUGAGCGACGGUACCUGCAGAAGAAGCGCCGGCCAACUACGUG
rnacentral:rRNA from 1 species